rnacentral:sRNA from 1 species
UUGUAGCUAUGUGUGAAGUGGAACGUAGCCUUUUUGUAAUUUUUCUUUACACAAAAAGGCGGAGUGAAACGGAACUUAC